UGAGGAGGAAAAGGAUUAUUUUGAUGAAGAGUGGGAAGAGGAUGAGGAAUAGGAUGAUGAUUAUGAUGGUGUGGAGAAGGAAAAGGAGGAUGAGGAGGAAAAGAGCAAGUCGCUGAAGUCAAAAAAUUCAUCUGAUGGUGAUGAUGAUGAUGAUGAUGAUAGCGAUGACGACAACAAUGAGUGUGUGCCAACUGAGAUAAAAGAUGAAUAUGAUGGUGAUGGUGUUGAGAGAGUCAUCUGAAACAAAAGAUGUAGGUGAAGGUGAUGAAGCUGACAACAGUAAUGAGAGUGUACCUGCUGAACCAAAUGGUUCUAAUGCCAAUGAUAGUGGUGGUGAUGAAGUGCCUGCUGAGACAACAGAUGAUUCUUGUCAGGCGAGUGUUACUCAGAUGGUUGAUUUACCUGUUGACAAUGACAUGGAUGAGAAUGCAUUUCUUGUGAUGAUAGAUGAACUUGGUGGCAAUGUGUUAACUGCUGUGAAUGAUAUGGAUGAGAAUGCAGUGCUGCAGAUGAUAGAAGAAAUUUGUGGCAAUGAGUUAUCUACUGUCAGUGACAUGGAUGAGAAUGCAAUUCUUCAGAUGACAGAAGAACUUGGUGGCAAUGAGUUACCUGCUGUAUAUGGCAUGGAAGAGAAUGUAAUUCUUCAGAUGAUAGAAGGACUUGGUGGCAAUGAGCCUGCUGAGAUAAAUAAUGCUGCUAAUUUGUGUUUUGUAACUAACUGAUUGACUGCUCAAAUUGCAGGUAACUUGUGAGGGUUGUUUUUCCUUUUUCCUGCACAAUUGAGUGCACACUUUGUUGUAUAUCUGAUAGAUAGCAUGAGAUAGGGAACAGCAUCA